GGGAAGGUGAGGGAAGUGUCCCCAGGGGAAGCGACACCUGACUCAAGUAGGGGCAGGAGUUUUCCAGUCAGAAGGCAGCACAGGUGGGGCUAGAAGCCUGGGCGGGAGCUUGGGCAUAUGCGCUCUGUAAGCCAGAGUGAGGAGUUUCAGUUUUAUUCAAAGUGCAAUAAGAUGUCAUCAAAGGGUGACUAAUGAGGCAAUCGCCCUUUGUAUCCUUGGGGGUGCCACAGCACAUGUCACCUUUAGAUGGUUCUACACAAUGUCCUCUCCUGACUUUAAGAUGGGUUAAAAAUGUUUUUCUUCUUCCUUGAGUUGGACGAUAAGAGACCUCAGUAUCUGCAGAAGUUCUUAACUGACCUCGGAGAGGAGAGGGCCUCUGCAUCUGCAGGCACCUGUUCUGGAAUGGACAGUCAAGGUCCUGCGAGCUCGGAGUCCACGUCAGCAUUUUUGAAUUGGAAGCUUGUGUUGAAUUCAGCCAGAUAGGAACUUCAUGAAUCCUGAGACCACUAUGCUGAGACCACUCUAGCCUACUGGAGAAUGAGUAGCCACGUGGGGGAGAUAACUGAGGCCUGUGGCUGACAGGCAGCACAACUUGCAUGCGUGAGGCCACCACGGACCUUCCAGCCCAGUCCAGCCAUUGGGCAAGUCCAACAGAAGAACUGCC
rnacentral:lncRNA from 1 species